CGGGCCACUUGGGCCAGCCGCCCCGUCCUUCCAGGGAAAACGAACCCGAGGGUGGAGAGCCCUCAAUCGGACCACGACUCCACCCCUGGAAGAUCCCUGCCCCCAUUCUGCCAGAGGACCCUCGAGACUCGAAGUCGAGAGGAUUUCUUAGACCGGAGACUCCAAGAGAUGAACCGACGGAUCGAAGAACUCCGCCAUGCUCCCCCUGCUUAUGGUGAGGAUAUUUGCACUGACCCUCCCUUCUCUCAAAUGAUCAUGCAGGAACCGAUCCCGCCAAACUUCAAGCUCCCCUAGUUCGAAAGCUACGACGGG
rnacentral:lncRNA from 1 species